rnacentral:rRNA from 1 species
AGGACGAACGCUGGCGGCGUGCUUAACACAUGCAAGUCGAACGGAUUCGUGGCACUUGUGUUGCGGGUUAGUGGCGAACGGGUGAGUAACACGUGAGUAACCUGCCCCAGACUCUGGGAUAACUCCGGGAAACCGGUGCUAAUACUGGAUAUGACAUCAAGCCGCAUGGUUAUGGUGUGGAAAGUUUUUCGGUCUGGGAUGGGCUCGCGGCCUAUCAGCUUGUUGGUGAGGUAGUGGCUCACCAAGGCGACGACGGGUAGCCGGCCUGAGAGGGCGAUCGGCCACACUGGGACUGAGACACGGCCCAGACUCCUACGGGAGGCAGCAGUGGGGAAUAUUGCACAAUGGGCGCAAGCCUGAUGCAGCGACGCCGCGUGAGGGAUGACGGCCUUCGGGUUGUAACCCCUUUCAGCAGGGACGAAGCGAAAGUGACGGUACCUGCAGAAGAAGCGCCGGCUAACACGUGCCAGCAGCCGCGGU